rnacentral:rRNA from 1 species
GAGUUUGAUCCUGGCUCAGAUUGAACGCUGGCGGCAUGCCUUACACAUGCAAGUCGAACGGCAGCACGGGAGCUUGCUCCUGGUGGCGAGUGGCGAACGGGUGAGUAAUGCAUCGGAACGUAUCCUGGAGUGGGGGAUAACGUAGCGAAAGUUACGCUAAUACCGCAUAUUCUGUGAGCAGGAAAGCGGGGGACCUUCGGGCCUCGCGCUCUUGGAGCGGCCGAUGUCGGAUUAGCUAGUUGGUGAGGUAAAGGCUCACCAAGGCGACGAUCCGUAGCAGGUCUGAGAGGAUGAUCUGCCACACUGGAACUGAGACACGGUCCAGACUCCUACGGGAGGCAGCAGUGGGGAAUUUUGGACAAUGGGGCAACCCUGAUCCAGCCAUGCCGCGUGAGUGAAGAAGGCCUCGG